rnacentral:rRNA from 1 species
UUGAACGCUGGCGGCAUGCCUUACACAUGCAAGUCGAACGGUAACGGGCCUUCGGGUGCCGACGAGUGGCGAACGGGUGAGUAAUACAUCGGAACGUGCCCGAUCGUGGGGGAUAACGAGGCGAAAGCUUUGCUAAUACCGCAUACGAUCUACGGAUGAAAGCAGGGGUCCGCAAGGCCUUGCGCGGACGGAGCGGCCGAUGGCAGAUUAGGUAGUUGGUGGGAUAAAAGCUUACCAAGCCGACGAUCUGUAGCUGGUCUGAGAGGAUGAUCAGCCACACUGGGACUGAGACACGGCCCAGACUCCUACGGGAGGCAGCAGUGGGGAAUUUUGGACAAUGGGCGCAAGCCUGAUCCAGCCAUGCCGCGUGCAGGAUGAAGGCCUUCGGGUUGUAAACUGCUUUUGUACGGAACGAAAAGCCUUCUUUUAAUACAGGAGGGUCAUGACGGUACCGUAAGAAUAAGCACCGGCUAACUACGUG